rnacentral:rRNA from 1 species
AGCGUGGGGAGCAAACAGGAUUAGAUACCCUGUAGUCCACGCCUAAACGAUGCGAACUGGAUGUUGGUCUCAACUCGGAGAUCAGUGUCGAAGCUAACGCGUUAAGUUCGCCGCCUGGGGAGUACGGUCGCAAGACUGAAACUCAAAGGAAUUGACGGGGGCCCGCACAAGCGGUGGAGUAUGUGGUUUAAUUCGAUGCAACGCGAAGAACCUUACCUGGCCUUGACAUGUCCGGAAUCCUGCAGAGAUGCGGGAGUGCCUUCGGGAAUCGGAACACAGGUGCUGCAUGGCUGUCGUCAGCUCGUGUCGUGAGAUGUUGGGUUAAGUCCCGCAACGAGCGCAACCCUUGUCCUUAGUUGCCAGCACGUAAUGGUGGGAACUCUAAGGAGACUGCCGGUGACAAACCGGAGGAAGGUGGAGAUGACGUCAAGUCAUCAUGGCCCUUACGGCCAGGGCUACACACGUACUACAAUGGUCGGUACAGAGGGUUGCGAUACCGCGAGGUGGAGCCAAUCCCAGAAAGCCGAUCCCAGUCCGGAUCGAAGUCUGCAACUCGACUUCGUGAAGUCGGAAUCGCUAGUAAUCGCGGAUCAGCUAUGCCGCGGUGAAUACGUUCCCGGGCCUUGUACACACCGCCCGUCACACCAUGGGAGUGAGUUGCUCCAGAAGCCGUUAGUCUAACCGCAAGGGGGACGACGACCACGGAGUGGUUCAUGACUGGGGUGAAGUCGUAACAAGGAAAUUAGGGGCCCCCCCCCAAAAAU